rnacentral:misc_RNA from 1 species
CUGCGAGCUAGAGCAGAGGCUGACCAGCCAAAGCAUCAUCGGCAAGCUCAACUCGACGCGCUAGGAACGAAAGGAGCAGAGAGGUGCUGGACAGUUCGGCGCGGCGAGCUGAGCAGGGAGAUGAACGCCGCGAAGGAACUCCGCGAGCAGAGCGCGACGCUGGAGCACACGCGGCCCUGGCGAGCUGGGCACCGGCGCUGGAGAGCUGAGCACCGCGGAGCGCGCAGGGAGGAAGACACACCAGGGAGCUACGCAGGUCUGGCGGAAUCCGAACAGGGAGGGAGAGGAUCUGGGCGCGGCCAUGGCUGGGGAGGGAAAUCGAGCUGGGGAGCUGCCAUGGGAGGAGCAGGGACGCGCCAUGAGCUGGAGCAGGGCGCAGCUGCCGGGCGCUGGGACAAGACAAGGAACGCGCGCGCCAGGAGAUAUACGACGGAUGAGAAAUAUCAGAUGGAGGGUGGCGGCUGGAGAUUUUUCAGAGGAAUGACUAGUGGAGAGGAAUCAUAUGGAAGCUAG